AAAUGGAGUCGUGCUGUGCUAUGCUGUGCCAAAGAAGAAUAGCUGAAGAACGUGGAGAAAAAUUCCUCAGGUUCAGAACCCACGAAGCUGGCGGUUUCCACAAUUUCAGAACCCAUCACCACCAUGUUACUUAUAUUUUCUUCCUCCACUUGACUGGCUCCCUUUUCUGCUUCAGAAAUCCAAAUCGAGAGUAACCAACUAGAAACACCCAGUGUAAAGACUGGUCAGACCCAAAAACCCUGCUUUCUCAUCCCGCACCACACCUGCUACCCUGUAACUGAAGGAGAGGUUAUACACCAUCCACCAUUAGAGAAAGCACCAGCAAGCCCAAGGCUUAUAAUUCAUGGCCGCCAACUCUUGAAGCAAAGCUGUUCUCAACCGCGUCUGUUCUUCUUGCGGGGAACCAUGCUGAUCCGAAAUCGCAGAUCCAUUUGAAUACCAUGAUUCGUAUUGGCGGUGUUUGACCUGACGCUUUGGGGUCUUUCCCCAAUUGCAACAAGUAAAGUACGAUUGCAAUAGAUGUGGGGCAAUCUUGGGGCCAUUCUUUCAAAACUCUUAUUCAGAAGUUCAAGUUGGUUAUUGCCCUGAAUGCCAAUCAAAAGGACCGUUCAGUGUCAAUAUUGAGCAGUUUUAAUCCGUAUAGGCAGCAGUUCCUUUCAGUUUUUUUACGCUCUCAUCUUCUUCUUCUUCACUUUUCGGGGUCCAGUCAUUAGUUCAAGAACUCGAAGUCCAGAGUUGCUUCAAUGACUCAAGUUCCAUGCUUUCUGUUUAAUAAUCUUCAGUCUGCAAAGUAUUAAUUCUUUAAAUGAUGGAAUCGCCUCUCACCUCUCUCUCUCUGACGCAUAAGGGUUCCAUAAGAAGCAGAGGAAACUAUAUUUAAGGAAUUAAAAGCAAAAUGAGGAUCAGAGUUGGAGGGAGUUCAAGAGUAACAUGAAAGCAGAACAAAACGGAAGCAUCAUGGUGAGUCAACAUAAGCACCGAUCAUGACAUCUUUGAGCAGUGAACCAAAGUCGCUCUUCUUCGUGGACAAGUCCAAAGAAUUUUGCUGCAUGAGGCUUCCAAAGAAGAUAGUAGCAAGAGAGCAUAAAAUUGCUGCAGGGGGAGGUUCAUGUACAAGCAGUAGCUAAAAGGAUUUCCUGAUCUUAAUUUAAUUGUCAUGAAUUUUUUGUAUUUUGUUUUCCUUUUUCAAUGAAUGCAAUACUAGCUUCAAUUACUAUA